UCAACUUGCAUGUGGCUUUCAGGCAGAGAGGAUGGUAGAAUACUAUAAAACUACAGAAAUCCUUCCCAUCCAUUAGUGCAAUCAGAGGGAAAGGCAAGAAAUGAGAUAUUAGAAGCAAGGUCCUACCUUCAGAGAAAGAUGCAAUGUUUUUCUCAUAUGACAGAGGACACCUGCCUGCACUUAUACCAGCAUCGGUCAGAAGUAAUUCACCUGCAAUGAACAGAGCGGCAUAAGUGCUGAACCCACCGAAAACAGGAUCAGGCCCACAGGCUCUUUAAAGGACAAAGGCAAUAAUAUAUUCUGAGACUCGGCUCCCAUUUCACAACAGCCGGAUGGAAAGAAAGCGAAGCCUCCAAGUCUGCCACGCUUCUCAGAGCUUCAGAGACACUAAAGAGAGUGUGAGAGUACCAAGUAUAGAAAAUCUUUAAGUGCCAAGCUUGCAACAAUUCUUUUUGUCAUUUUUACCUUCUAAUUCUCCUCUCAAGUUGGAAAAAACCCUGAAGUUUCUUAAAGAGAAGAAUAACUAUUUUCUGCCACCACCAGUUGUGUUUAAGGCAGCUACAAUUAAUUAGAAGCAGCAUAGAUAUGUCACAGAGGACAGUCAAUCUUCUCCAGUUUGUCCACUACAUCUCUGACAGUAUUUCUUGAUUUCACUGUUGUUGAAUGUUAUUUUCUAUUUUUUGUAUUUUUUUCCUCCCUCAAUAUUCUUCCUAAUGGUUUCUAAAAAAAUGGUGUUAUCCAGGAUUUAAUUAAAAGUGUACAAACAGAGAAGACUCUCAAUGGAAAGCGGACCAUCACCAAGUAAUAAAGUCCAACAAUUAAAGCAUAAAAAGCCUGAGAAAGCUUAGAUUGAAAUCCAUAUGCAUAUUAUCUCAGCAUACUGACGUAUAAAUAAAUAAAAAGUGGUCUGAGUUAAAAAUACAGAAGAGUGUCAAAAAUAAGCAAGGUUAUUUCUAUUAAUAUCAGCAUGCAGAAACACUGGCUUCCUAUGGAUUUAAAUUUAACAGUAGGUUGAUUUUUUAGCACUUGUGAGGAGUAAACUAGACUGAAUUUUUCCUUGUGGUGAGGUAACUUCUGCAAGUUCUCUCCCUUGUGUUGCUUCUGGUAGGUGAAACCUUCAUUUGAGGCACAUCUCUCCUGUGUUCUCUACCUGACUGUCUGCUUUCACAAAACUUGAAGGCUUUUAACUGUAAGACCUCUGUUCCUCUUGGUUAGACCUGCUGCAGGGUCAAUGAACACUGAGGAGCAAAAGCACAUACAGCCUGACUUUGUGAACUCACUCUCCACAGGAAACAAGGAAAAUUGCAUGGACUAACUGAAAAAUUGUUUUUCUCCUGCAGAUAUAUUUACUUUUUAAAUAAACAAUUAUUUUAUUUCUUUCAAAAUAA